rnacentral:rRNA from 1 species
CGUACACUCCUACGGGAGGCAGCAGUGGGGAAUAUUGGACAAUGGGCGCAAGCCUGAUCCAGCCAUGCCGCGUGAGUGAUGAAGGCCCUAGGGUUGUAAAGCUCUUUCACCGGUGAAGAUAAUGACGGUAACCGGAGAAGAAGCCCCGGCUAACUUCGUGCCAGCAGCCGCGGUAAUACGAAGGGGGCUAGCGUUGUUCGGAUUUACUGGGCGUAAAGCGCACGUAGGCGGACUAUUAAGUCAGGGGUGAAAUCCCGGGGCUCAACCCCGGAACUGCCUUUGAUACUGGUAGUCGUGAGUUCGAGAGAGGUGAGUGGAAUUCCGAGUGUAGAGGUGAAAUUCGUAGAUAUUCGGAGGAACACCAGUGGCGAAGGCGGCUCACUGGCUCGAUACUGACGCUGAGGUGCGAAAGCGUGGGGAGCAAACAGGAUUAGAUACCCCGGUAGUCC